rnacentral:rRNA from 1 species
UUGAUACUGUCUGACUUGAAUAUGGAUGAGGUAGGCGGAAUGUGUAGUGUAGCGGUGAAAUGCUUAGAUAUUACACAGAACACCGAUUGCGAAGGCAGCUUACUAAUCCAUGAUUGACGCUGAGGCACGAAAGCGUGGGGAUCAAACAGGAUUAGAUACCCUGGUAGUCCACGCUGUAAACGAUGAUCACUCGCUGUUUGCGAUACACAGUAAGCGGCUAAGCGAAAGCGUUAAGUGAUCCACCUGGGGAGUACGAUCGCAAGGUUGAAACUCAAAGGAAUUGACGGGGGCCCGCACAAGCGGAGGAACAUGUGGUUUAAUUCGAUGAUACGCGAGGAACCUUACCUGGGCUUAAAUGGGGAGUGACAGCUGCUGAAAGGUGGUUUUCUUCGGACACUCUCCAAGGUGCUGCAUGGUUGUCGUCAGCUCGUGCCGUGAGGUGUCGGGUUAAGUCCCAUAACGAGCGCAA